UACGUAGGGGGCAAGCGUUGUCCGGAAUUAUUGGGCGUAAAGAGCGCGUAGGCGGUCCGAUAAGUCGGCUGUGAAAGUCCAGGGCUCAACCCUGGAAAGCCGGCCGAUACUGUCGGACUAGAGUCCGGAAGAGGCGAGUGGAAUUCCUGGUGUAGCGGUGAAAUGCGCAGAUAUCAGGAGGAACACCAAUGGCGAAGGCAGCUCGCUGGGACGUGACUGACGCUGAGACGCGAAAGCGUGGGGAGCAAACAGG
rnacentral:rRNA from 1 species